rnacentral:misc_RNA from 1 species
CCUGUUCGGCUGCUGAUCAUGGCAACUCGCCCUUUGAUCAAAAUCUCGUUCGCGCAAGCUGCGACUUCUUUGUCCGGGCGCAAAGACGACUACCAUGACGAGGCGUAUGCAGAGCAAGGUCAAGCACGGAAAACUCACAAUNAUGCGAUUGUUCGAGCGGUUACGUCUGAGUUUCGGAUUCUUGCCGAUCCAAACUCAGAAGG